UCUGCCCUCCUUCCGCCUGUAUAUCUCUUUCCUACGUUUAUAUCUGUCCCGUCUCCACUUAUUUGCAGGCUCUCUGCCAGGCGGUAGGUGGUCCGGGGUGAAUCACCAGCCCUGUUCACAGCGAGCUUGCAGUCUAGUGAUCAAGACGGCCUUGUCGACCACCAGAUGUAACACAAAGCAAAUGCAGCCCGCGUAGAACCAGAGGCUCCAAUCCAGUGCGGUGGGAUAGUCAAAGCGACCACGGAAAUAAGAAUUUCCUUUUAUUGAACGCCUACUACGUGCCCAUUAUCCUUAAUCCUCACAACAAUUCUGCAAGAUUCAUGGAUCGCACCUCUUCCUAGGGAAGCCUGAGAAUUCCUCAAACUGGGAGCUUCGGGUGCGCCAAGAGCAGACCGAAUGAAGAUGAUAAAACUACACAUCUCACCAGGUUGUUAUAUGGAUUAAAUGAGAUAUUGUAAGUCAAGUUCUUGGCACUGUGCCUACUACCAAGGAAAUCACUUGCUACAGAGAACACAGUAGAAAGAGGCAGUGGCCCUGCAAUUUCUCACUUGAGGUCCAGGUUUGGAAAGCUGGCUUCCCAAGCAUUUGUCCUGAGAAUCCUGCACCUUCAUUGGACAGUUAUUCCCUGGAGCGUACACACAAAGUUGUCUGUGCAAGACUCUAUGGAAAAGUCUACUCCUGGCAUUUGGAAGGUCUAUCCUUGUGACUUAUGGCUUGGGCAUCCAUUUGGAACCAUUGUGAACCAUUUGAGGGGCUCACGCUGUCUAAAUUAAGAGAGUAUUUCUUACCAGGUGGCUCCCUCCUCUUCUGCCUGCACCUCACUUUCAGCUGCUCCCAGAGAUACCUGUCUCUCUUUUUGAGGUUCUCCCUAGGGCCAUCCAAUGUAAAUUUUAGCGUUGCCACAUAUUUUAAGUCAGACUUACUCCAAACAAACCUCCCAAAUUUGGUGAAAGUCAACCAAACCAUUUUUAGUGAUUCAGUGACAGAAAACUAGAAAUGUAACUUAUAAAUUACUUUCCUUAAUAAAUACGAAAAACAGGGCUUCCCUGGUGGCACAGUAGUUAGGAAUCCACCUGCCAAUGCAGGGUACAUGGGUUUGAGCCCUGGUCCUGGAAGAUCCCACAU